GACGAACGCUGGCGGCGUGCCUCAUACAUGCAAGUAGGACGCAGUUGCGAACGGGUGAGUAACGCGUCGGUAACUGCCUAUUAGUGGGGGAUAACUAUUGGAAACGAUAGCUAAUACCGCCUACUAGUAGAUGGACCUGCGUUGUAUUAGCUAGUAGGUAGGGUAAUGGCCUACCUAGGCGACGAUACAUAGCCGACCUGAGAGGGUUGUCGGCCCCACUGGGACUGGUACAAGGCCCAGACUCCUACGGGAGGCAGCAGUAGGGAAUCUUCGGCAAUGGGGGGAACCCUGACCGAGCAACGCCGCGGGAGUGAAGAAGGUUUUCGGAUCGUAAAGCUCUGUUGUUAAGGAAGCGGUACUUAACCAGAAAGGGACGGCUAACUACGUGCCAGCCGCCGCGGUAAUAC
rnacentral:rRNA from 1 species